AAUUAUAAUACUUUGAUUCUACUUUAACCGUCAUGGUUCCAUACUAUUAGGUUCUAGGACUUGAAGUUUUAUGUGGUACAGUAGAGUCUCGCUUAUCCAACGUUCUGUAUUAUCCAACACACUUUGCCUUUUAGUAGUCAAUAUUUUUGUUGUCAAUGUUGUGGUAUACUGUGCCUUUAAGCCACACUCUCUGGUUGUUACAGCUGUAAUGUAAGAACUACUGAUUGCUGGGAUAUAUAGCUUUUGUGCACCCAAAGCCUCAGUAGCCUUCCUAAUGUUUGGAAUAAACUCUUUCCUACAAGACUCUGCUGGCUGUUGAGCUUCCUUCAUACGAAGAAUAUUACAUGGUGUCAGAAGUGGGAUACAAACCUCUCCUGUGCUACAACCUGGAAGCUAGCGUCCACCGAAAAAGGAGUGUUUAGACAUGGAGUCAUUUCGUCCUCCUCCUCCCCUUGCUAUGCAAGGUAAUUUGGCUGAGAACUGGAGACGGUGGGAACAGGCCUUUCAGUUGUAUCUUGCUGCAGCGGGACUUGAGAAUGUGUCAAAGAAGCGGCAGAUAGCUAUCCUGCUACAUUGUGUGGGAGAGGAAGGAGUUUCUUUAUAUAAUACAUUUGUUUUUGCCGAGGAGAACCCGAAAGAUAUUGCAGAGGUUCUGGAACAGUUUAGGACUUAUUUUUUUACCUCGGAAGAACAUUGUGUUUGAAAGGUUUUGUUUCUGGAACCAUAUGCAGAGUCCUGGAGUUACAAAUGUGCAAUUUAUUGCUGAGCUAAAACUGAAAGCAGCCAGCUGUGAAUUUGGAAUGGCAGUUAAUGAGAUGAUAAGAGAUAAAGUUGUUUUUAGUUUACAGCAAGAGAAACUGAAACAAAAGUUGUUACAAGAAGCCGAUCUUACACUUGAGAAGGCCGUGGAGAUAUGCCGGGUUGAUGAGACAACGAGAGCUCAGCUGAGAACCAUGGCAAUAACAUCGGAAGAAGGAGUGUUUGAAUUACAAGACAGCCAUGGAGAAAACAAAGAGAUUAUAACUCAAGCUCUGGGAACCAGGGAGUCAAGACACAGAGACAAUUGGAAAAAUCAGAAUAAGUGUGGUUAUUGUGGUACAGCUCAUGAACCUCGGAGAUGUCCAGCAUUUGGAAAGACCUGCAACAAGUGUGGCAAGAAAAAUCAUUAUGCCAGGUUAUGCAGGUCAAGGGUGACCAAUCCUGUGAAUAUACAAGCCAGACAACACAUUCAUGAGUUGAAUGUAUGCAGACUUGCCUCCCCCAACUCUUCAGAGGAUAGGUAUGCUCUGAAGCAUCCAUAA
ensembl:lncRNA